rnacentral:rRNA from 1 species
GACGAACGCUGGCGGCGUGCCUAAUACAUGCAAGUUGAACGCUAAAGCUUUAACUGGUGCUUGCACCGACUUAAGUUUUUAGAGUAGCGGACGGGUGAGUAACACGUGGGUAACCUGCCCAUCAGAGGGGGAUAACACUUGGAAACAGGUGCUAAUACCGUAUAACAAUCGAAACCGCAUGGUUUUGAUUUGAAAGGCGCUUUCGGGUGUCGCUGAUGGAUGGACCCGCGGUGCAUUAGCUAGUUGGUGAGGUAACGGCUCACCAAGGCCACGAUGCAUAGCCGACCUGAGAGGGUGAUCGGCCACAUUGGGACUGAGACACGGCCCAAACUCCUACGGGAGGCAGCAGUAGGGAAUCUUCGGCAAUGGACGAAAGUCUGACCGAGCAACGCCGCGUGAGUGAAGAAGGUUUUCGGAUCGUAAAACUCUGUUGUUAGAGAAGAACAAGGAUGAGAGUAACUGUUCAUCCCUUGACGGUAUCUAACCAGAAAGCCACGGCUAACUACGUGCCAGCCGCCGCCGUAACAC